GUCCCAGUAGCACAAUGGAUAGCGCGUUGGACUUCUAAUCUAAAGGUCGUGGGUUCGAAUCCACCUGGGAUG
rnacentral:tRNA from 1 species